AACGAACGCUGGCGGCAUGCCUAACACAUGCAAGUCGAACGAACCCUUCGGGGUUAGUGGCGCACGGGUGCGUAACACGUGGGAAUCUGCCCUUUGCUUCGGAAUAACAGUUAGAAAUGACUGCUAAUACCGGAUAAUGUCUCCGGACCAAAGAUUUAUCGGCAAAGGAUGAGCCCGCGUAGGAUUAGCUUGUUGGUGAGGUAAAGGCUCACCAAGGCGACGAUCCUUAGCUGGUCUGAGAGGAUGAUCAGCCACACUGGGACUGAGACACGGCCCAGACUCCUACGGGAGGCAGCAGUGGGGAAUAUUGGACAAUGGGCGAAAGCCUGAUCCAGCAAUGCCGCGUGAGUGAUGAAGGCCUUAGGGUUGUAAAGCACUUUUGUUGGGGAAGAAACCGGCCGGGUUAAUACCCUGGUUGAAUGACGGUACCCAAAGAAUAAGCACCAGCUAACUUCGUGCCAGCAGCCGCGGUAAAGUAGUCGUG
rnacentral:rRNA from 1 species